rnacentral:lncRNA from 1 species
AUGGUGAAGCUGUUCAUCGGAAACGUGCCCUGGGAGGCUACACAGCGGGAGAUUCGCUCACUCUUCUAGCAGUAUGGGAAGGUGCUGGAAUGUGGCAUCAUUAAGAAUUAUGGCUUUGUGCACAUAGAAGACAGAACUGCAGAGGAAGAUGCCAUACGCAACCUGCACCAUCACAAGCUUUAUGGGGUAAACAUCAGUGUGGAAGCCAGCACGAAUGAGAGCAAAACCUCAACCAAGUUGCAUGUGGGCAACAUCAGUCCCACCUGUACCAAUAAGGAGCUUCCAGCCAAGUUUGAGGAGUAUGGUCCAGACGGUCGUUGAAUGUGACAUCAUGAAAGAUGAUGCCUUCUUACACAUGGAGCGGGCAGAGGAUGCAGUGGAGACCAUCAAGGGCCUUGAUAACACAGAGUUUCACAGUGGGAUGUGUGUGGGC